rnacentral:lncRNA from 1 species
CAACUUAGUUCCCCUCCUUCCUUUUUGCAGCGAACUCCACACUGACGGAAUCAAAUUGUAUGUUCCUCUUUUUCACUUCAUUUCUAUCUUUAAUUAGACCAAAACUGUUAUAUCCCUUUUAUUAAUGAAUAUAUUAUAGUAAACCGCGAAUUCUACUGAAUUUGAUUUUGAUUUGCUCUGUUUUCUCCUAUUUUUCAAUGAGCUUUGAUUUACCACAUUAAUCUGCGAUUAAAGUAGUACUAAUAACUAUCAAAAAGAAUUUGUCCAGUGUUUAUUUGGUCCUAUAGCCCAAGCCCCGGAGACGUGAUAAAAUCAAAUAUAUAGUUCGUUUUUAUUUUUGUUGAUUUUAUAUUAAUUUAUUUUUUAUUCUUGUAUUUACGGCCAAUUCUCACUCCACGAACAGAGAAAAAACUUAGAAGCCAUUUCCUCAAAUUUCAAGCCCAACUUCAUCUUCUAACAAGUACAGGUAAAUUUCUAUUUUUUUUUAGUCUUCUCCAUCUGUAAGGUUUUUACUUAAAUGGGAAUUAUGUAAUUUCCACGGAGAAAUUAAAUAGAGAAGCAAAUGAUUGGAGACAAGCAAUCGGGAUUUGAG